UUGUAUUACAAAAUUAGGACAAGAGGUGAUAACAAAUUCUACAAAGAAAACAAGAUAACCAUGUUGCACAUGGACUAUAUGGUGAUUGUUUUAGGAUGGUUGUACUGAGAACUGUUCAAAAGUUGUCUCAUCUCAGUGACUAAACCUGCAUUCAAGAUAUUAAUCAACAUACUAUGUAAAAUGUUACUAGAGAAAGCUCUUAAAACAUAAUAAAAAUUGCUCAUACAUGUGUAUAACUAAAACUAGUAGACAAAUCAAAAUUAAAUGGGAACAUUAGCAAGCAAUUAUAAUCAACAAAUAAAAUAAUGAGAAAUAAUAAAUCACUCAUAAUUAGUUUUCAAAUUAUAAAAAGCGAAGAGCGUAAACACUUCCUUGAGUUUCGUCUGGAUGAGUACUGUGCACUAUAAUGAAGGUUUUAUAGUGCACUAAAGGCACUGCAAUACUAGCCUAAUAGCAUUGGACCCCACUGUACUGCACCGCCCAUUCAAAUGAGGACUUAAGCUUCGUUUUAAUGGGGCUUAUGCACCUCCUACCGCAUUCGAACUUUGAAACAGCUUUGUAAAUGCAGUCUUAGAAAUCUAGUUAUAAAACAAUCUCUUCCAUCACGCUAUCAAAUAAGCUCUUGUUCGAUUUCGUACCUAUAUAUAUAUAUAUAUAUUUAUAUAUUUAUAUAUAAAGACUAAGAGAAUUCUCCACAAACAAGCAAACAUGAUUUUCUUUUCUCUCUCUCUCUCUCUCUCUCUCUCUCUCUCUCUCUCUCUCUCUUUUCUUUCGAAGUGAUUUUAAGUAGUCUCUCUUUGUAUCGUUUUCUUUGAACAUUGAAGAACUGAAUUUAUGUUUUAAGAUAAAGGCUUCCUUCUUUAAUUGUUCAUGGUACUCUAUUUAAUUUAUUCUUUUGUUUUUUAUGAUAAAGCUUUUUUCUUUUUCUUUUUUCAAUUUUUUUCCUUUUUUCCCAGUUUCGCUUUUUUUUUUUUUUCUAUUCUUCCUUUUUUUUCUUUGAAUUUCUUUUUUCUUUUUUUUUUCUUCCUUUUGACUAUAGUAGCAGCGGUGAUUGAAGCAAUAGAGAACCUUUCUGACAAAAAAAGUCAAAAAGAAAAAAAAAAAAAACCAAAGUAGAAGAAGGCUUACCGUUGGCUAAGGGUUGAAUAAAGCAUAAAAUCGAUAACAAGGUGAGAGUACAAAGAAACCAACCAGAGGGAUAUGUGAUGAAAUUGCCUUUGUUCUAAUCUUUCCAAGUUGCAACUACUGCUUGAACGAAGUAAUUGGCCAAAGUAUUGGACCGUGCCACCGAUCGAAUCAUUCCUUCCAUACGAAGAAUUUCGUGAUGAAGCCUUGCCAGCUCUAAAUUCUUGGAUUGCAUUUCUCUAAGCUCAGCUAACUCUGCUUUCAAGCGCCUCAAUUCCUUCUCCUUUUUCUUUUUGACAUCAUAAGAAAAGAAUAAAAGAAUCAAAGAUAUCAAAUAAGGGAAAAGAUUAUGAAGAUAAGGCUGAAAAUUUAAUAGAAAGUAC
rnacentral:lncRNA from 1 species